rnacentral:rRNA from 1 species
UACAGAGGGGGCAAGCGUUAUUCGGAAUUAUUGGGGCGUAAAAGGGCGCGUAGGCGGCCUGGCAAGUGGAAGGAUGAAAUCCCUCGGCUUAACCGAGGAACUGCCCUCCAAACUGCUUGGCUUGAGACCGGGAGAGGUGAGUGGAAUUCCCAGUGUAGCGGUGAAAUGCGUAGAUAUUGGGAGGAACACCAGUGGCGAAGGCGGACUCACUGGACCGGUACGUGACGCUGAGGCGCGGAAAGCGAUGGGGAGCAAACGGGGG